rnacentral:rRNA from 1 species
UACAGAGGUCUCAAGCGUUGUUCGGAUUCAUUGGGCGUAAAGGGUGUGUAGGUGGCGCGGUAAGUCGGGUGUGAAAUCUCGGGGCUUAACUCCGAAACUGCAUUCGAUACUGCGGUGCUUGAGGACUGGAGAGGAGACUGGAAUUCAUGGUGUAGCAGUGAAAUGCGUAGAGAUCAUGAGGAAGACCAGUGGCGAAGGCGGGUCUCUGGACAGUUCCUGACACUGAGACACGAAGGCCAGGGGAGCAAACGGG